UACGUAGGUGGCAAGCGUUGUCCGGAUUUACUGGGCGUAAAGAGCGCGCAGGCGGUCGGCCAAGUCGAGUGUGAAAGCCCCCGGCUCAACUGGGGAGGGUCAUUCGAUACUGGUCGACUCGAAGGCAGGAGAGGGAAGCGGAAUUCCCGGUGUAGUGGUGAAAUGCGUAGAUAUCGGGAGGAACACCAGUGGCGAAGGCGACUUCCUGGCCUGUUCUUGACGCUGAGGCGCGAAAGCUAGGGUAGCAAACGGGG
rnacentral:rRNA from 1 species